GUUCCUGUAGCGCAACGGAUAGCGCGUUGGACUUCUAAUCCAAAAAUCGUGGGUCCGAAUCCCGCCUGGUAUA
rnacentral:tRNA from 1 species